AACGAACGCUGGCGGCAUGCCUAACACAUGCAAGUCGAACGAGACCUUCGGGUCUAGUGGCGCACGGGUGCGUAACGCGUGGGAAUCUGCCCUUCGGUUCGGAAUAACUCAGGGAAACUU
rnacentral:rRNA from 1 species